rnacentral:rRNA from 1 species
AUUGAACGCUGGCGGCAUGCCUUACACAUGCAAGUCGAACGGCAGCACGGGAGCAAUCCUGGUGGCGAGUGGCGAACGGGUGAGUAAUAUAUCGGAACGUGCCCAGUCGUGGGGAUAACGUAGCGAAAGCUACGCUAAUACCGCAUACGAUCUAUGGAUGAAAGCGGGGGAUCGCAAGACCUCGCGCGAUUGGAGCGGCCGAUAUCAGAUUAGGUAGUUGGUGAGGUAAAGGCUCACCAAGCCGACGAUCUGUAGCUGGUCUGAGAGGACGACCAGCCACACUGGGACUGAGACACGGCCCAGACUCCUACGGGAGGCAGCAGUGGGGAAUUUUUGGACAAUGGGCGCAAGCCUGAUCCAGCAAUGCCGCGUGAGUGAAGAAGGCCUCGG